GUGCUCACUUGGGCAGUGCAUAUGCUAAAAUUGGAAUGAUACAGAGAAGAUUAGCAUGACCCCUGCGCAAGGAUGACACACAAAUUCGUGAAGGUUCCAUAUUUUC
ensembl:snRNA U6 U6 spliceosomal RNA